rnacentral:rRNA from 1 species
GACGAACGCUGGCGGCGUGCUUAACACAUGCAAGUCGAGCGGUAAGGCCCUUUCGGGGGUACACGAGCGGCGAACGGGUGAGUAACACGUGGGUGACCUGCCCUUAGCUCUGGGAUAAGCCUGGGAAACUGGGUCUAAUACCGGAUAUGACUCCAUGACGCAUGUUGUGGGGUGGAAAGCCUUGUGCGGCUAGGGAUGGGCCCGCGGCCUAUCAGCUUGUUGGUGGGGUGAUGGCCUACCAAGGCGACGCCGGGUAGCCGGCCUGAGAGGGCGACCGGCCACACUGGGACUGAGACACGGCCCAGACUCCUACGGGAGGCAGCAGUGGGGAAUCUUGCGCAAUGGGCGAAAGCCUGACGCAGCGACGCCGCGUGGGGA